UACGUAGGGUGCAAGCGUUGUCCGGAAUUAUUGGGCGUAAAGAGCUCGUAGGCGGCUUGUCGCGUCGAAUGUGAAAACCCACGGCUCAACUGUGGGCUUGCAUUCGAUACGGGCAGGCUAGAGUUCGGUAGGGGAGACUGGAAUUCCUGGUGUAGCGGUGAAAUGCGCAGAUAUCAGGAGGAACACCGGUGGCGAAGGCGGGUCUCUGGGCCGAUACUGACGCUGAGGAGCGAAAGCGUGGGGAGCGAACAGG
rnacentral:rRNA from 1 species